GGUUCGAUCAUGGCGCUCAGACGGAGCAUUUGGCAGGACCAUGCAAGUCGAGGCAGCAGCACGGACUUCGGUCUGGUGGCGAGUGGCGAACGGGUGAGUAAUGUAUCGGAACGUGCCCUGGUAGCGGGGAUAACUACGCGAAAGCGCUCGCUAAUACCGCCGCCGCUCGAAGCGGACCUUCGGGCCUCGCACUAAUAGAGCGGCCUGAUAUCGGAUUAUGGCGGAUUGGUGGGGUAACGGCUCCGCCGACGACGAUCCAUAGCUGGUUUGAAGGACGACCAAUACUGGGACUGGGCACAGCCGAACUCUGCAAGGGAGGGGCAGCAGUGGGGAAUUUUGGACAAUGGAAAACCCACAGUCAGCAUCGCGUGUGCGAUGACCUUCAGGUUGGCAAAGCGCUUUUGGCGAGAAAGAAACACUUCAGGAUAAUACCGUGGCAAUAUUACACCUGCCGAAAUAAGCGCCGGCUAACUACGUGCACCAGCUGUCCGCGGUAAUGCGUAAGGUGCAAGCGUUAAUCGGAAUUACUGGGCGACAAAGCGUGCGCAGGCGGUUCGGAAAAGAAGAUCUUGAAAUCCCGAGCAACUACAGGACUGCAUUUUUAACUGAAGGCUGAAGUGUCGGAGGAGGUGGAAUUCCGCUGUUAACGGUGAGAUAGAAGCCAGAUAUGCGGGAGAAGGUACACCGAUAGCUGAAGCUCUCUAGGAUAACGCGACGCUCAUGCUGCGAAAAGCGUGGGAGCAAACAGAUUAGAAUACCACUGGUAGUCCACGCCCUAAACGAUGUCAGCUGGCUGUUUGGGCCUUCAAGACAUGGCUAGCGCAACUAACGCGUGAGAUUGACCGCCUGGGAAAUGCAG
rnacentral:misc_RNA from 1 species